rnacentral:rRNA from 1 species
AGUGAACGCUGGCGGUAGGCCUAACACAUGCAAGUCGAACGGCAGCACAGUAAGAGCUUGCUCUUACGGGUGGCGGGUGGCGGACGGGUGAGGAAUACAUCGGAAUCUACUUUUUCGUGGGGGAUAACGUAGGGAGACUUACGCUAAUACCGCAUACGACCUACGGGUGAAAGCAGGGGAUCUUCGGACCUUGCGCGAUUGAAUGAGCCGAUGUCGGAUUAGCUAGUUGGCGGGGUAAAGGCCCACCAAGGCGACGAUCCGUAGCUGGUCUGAGAGGAUGGUCAGCCACACUGGAACGGAGACACGGUCCAGACUCCUACGGGAGGCAGCAGUGGGGAAUAUUGGACAAUGGGCGCAAGCCUGAUCCAGCCAUACCGCGUGGGUGAAGAAGGCCUUCGGGUUGUAAAGCCCUUUUGUUGGGAAAGAAAAGCAGCAGGUUAAUACCCCGCUGUUCUGACGGUACCCAAAGAAUAAGCACCGGCUAACUUCGUG